GGACGAACGCUGGCGGCGUGCCUAAUACAUGCAAGUCGAACGGUCUUUCUAUGGAAGCUUGCUUCCACUGAGAAGAUAGUGGCGAACGGGUGAGUAACACGUGGGUAACCUGCCCAUAAGAGGGGGAUAACAUCCGGAAACGGGUGCUAAUACCGCAUAGUUUUCUUGAUCGCAUGAUUGAGAAAGGAAAGACGGCCUUUGUGCUGUCGCUUAUGGAUGGACCCGCGGCGUAUUAGUUAGUUGGUGAGGUAACGGCUCACCAAGACGAUGAUACGUAGCCGACCUGAGAGGGUGAUCGGCCACAUUGGGACUGAGACACGGCCCAAACUCCUACGGGAGGCAGCAGUAGGGAAUCUUCCGCAAUGGACGAAAGUCUGACGGAGCAACGCCGCGUGAGUGAAGAAAGGUUUUCGGAUCGUAAAACUCUGUUGUCAGAGAAGAACAAGUUGGAGAGUAACUGCUCCAGCCUUGGCGGUAUCUGACCAGAAAGCCACGGCUAACUACGUGCCAGCCGCGGC
rnacentral:rRNA from 1 species